rnacentral:rRNA from 1 species
UAUAAUGAAUUUUUAUUUGAUUAAGUUUUAUAUGUAGUUCAAUUAUGAAAUUUAAAGAUAUUGGCGGUGUUUUACUUUAUUCUGAGAAUCUUGUAUAAUUAAAUUGAUAUUACACAUUUUAUCUUAUCUUUAUUAAUUUUGGCUUAUGUAUUGCUGUUUAAUUUAUAUUUUAUUAUGAAUUAAUGGAAUUAUAAUUAUAUAAUAAGUUCAAGUCAAGAUGUAGUUUUAUAGAGGUUUAUAUGAGUUGCUUUUUUCUAGUAUGAAAGUUAAGUAUAUUUUGAAAAAUUUAUUGUUAAAUGGAUUAGGUUGUAAAAGUGAAGUAGUUAGUUGUUUUGAUAAUGGUUGUAAUCAUGU